rnacentral:lncRNA from 1 species
GCCGAGGUCACCGGGGCCUCCCGGAGCCAACCGGGGGAGGGGGCUGUCCCUCAGCCCCAUCACGUCUCAUCUGUGGUCAAGGGAAACUGCCACGGCUCGGGCUUCUUCGAUCCCUUCCCUCCCUGGGGACGGUUCGGACAAUCCUGCCACCAACGCCCUUGCUCUUGGCAGUCCGCCCACCGAUUAGCCCCCGACAUUGCGGGUGGCCUCCUGGCCCCUCGGUGGGGGCCGGGGUUACUCACCCAUGGCAUAUGCCCCCUCUCCCUCAGGAUACCUUGAGGAGACUGGCGGGCCACAGCGAGCAGGGCGGCCUGCCUUUUCAUCAUCCUGUCUUCCUUUGCAUCCUCAGCUUCAAGCCGGUUAUGGAGCACCCUCCGUGCAGCCACUCGGAGCUGUGCAGGACUGGUAGCAGGACCGAUCGCCAACUUUGGGAGUUUCCCACGGGUGUCUGGAGCACUUCUGAGAUCUGAAACACGGAUUCGGGAUCACUGUCCUGCCCCGGGCCUCCAGGUCCCAGUUUGUGUAUCGCCUGAGGCAGCCCUGCGGCCUCUGGAACAAAGUGCGUGGGUGUGGCGGGGCGGGUGGGGUGGGAUUGGGGGCCGCGGGGCGGGGAGGGGCGGCUCGGCUUUCCCCAGGGCCCUGUUGGACCUGUCUGAAUUUAGGCCAUUUAAUGGGUGGCCGGCUUACUCUUUUCAUGGCUUUCAGAGCAGACCCCGAAAACAUCCUCCCUUUCCUCCAUCCCCGGGAUCAUUGGGAUUCCACCCUGCCUCGUUCUCUGGCACAGCCUGUCCACCAGGCCUGCGGAUGUCCGAUCCUGGGUCAUCUGCCUUACCCGCUUGUUCCCUGGCUUCGAACGGAACGGAUGACUUUGCCUCAGGCAUGACGAGUGUAGUCAACAGGCUUGCAAUACCGGCCCAGGUGGGAUCACGAGUGCAGAAGAUCCCCUUCGUCGGGCCUAUGAACUCCUCUGGGUCAGCGCUCAGUCCUCGCGUGUGUGCCUUCCAAUCACACAGGUCAGAGGUGGAAAAGGGGACGUGCACAUCAACAAGCGUCCCCUCCCCGUCAGGCAGCUGUCUCAGGGGCGGUAUUCCAGGUGUGUCACUCGUGCUAAUGUGGCUGUACACUCUGGAAGAAAGAAGAGGAGGGGGGGAGGGUCUCUGCCUGUGGCAGCGUCCAGUCCCCCGUAGGGGGAUGGCGGGGGGAGAACAGCAAGGGGUUUGGCCCUGUGCCGGCCUCUGGCUCAAGCAGGGCUGAGAUAGGGGGAUGAGGUGGAGGUCCCCCAGGGCUCCCCAGCUGGUCUAACGGUGGGUCCAGAGAAGCUGGAGUACAUGAGCGAGGCAGGCUCCGAGAUGGGCUUUCCUUAGUAUUUGCACCCUCCCUCCAGAUUCC